CGCUAGUAAUAUUAGUGCAAUGUACUUGACAGACUGUAAGCGGUCCAUACUUAGAAAGAUAAUACUAGGUUUUGGUUCAAUGUCAGUGGAAUGAGGGUAGGAUAAUAAUAUAUAGUUAAGUGGUACGGUACGGUAGUUAAUUAAAUUUUACUCAUUCGAUACAGAAAUAACAUAGAAGGACUCAAAUUUAUUUAAUACAGUAUCAAACAGAAAGAUAACUUAAACAAGGAUGGAAAUUAAUAUCAAUAAUGCUUUUUACAUGGCAAUAAAGUUUUCAUGGGCUCCAUACUAUUCGUGCUAUGGAACAUUAAAAGAUGGUACCAAAAUAUUAACUGACAAAACAGUAAUUUUUCUGUUGCAGCGACCUGCUUUUACAAUUUUUAUUGUUUCAAUCGUGCUAUUGUUCUUUGUUCCAGUUAUUUUUGUAUCACUAUUAUUAUUUAGUGUUGCAUCAUUGGUAUUUUUUUUUCUUUUAAUUAUAGAAGGUUUGGCUAUUAUAAGUGUACUCAGUUUUAUCACUGCAAUUUUUUCUUUGAUAACCUUUUUAUUCGUUUUUGUUAACCUGAAAAAUACUCAUGAAUGAAGAAAGUACACAUACAGUCAAUAUUUUU